GUUAGAUUUUCAAAGCUUACCCACAGAAACUGAAUUAUCCAGUAUUUUAAAGAAGUGAACAUGCUCUGCUACUGAAAAUAAAUAAAUAAAUAAAUAAAUAAAUGUGUCACUGCUGAAAGAAGUGAGAAGGUGACCUCAUAUAUGCAAGCAGAGCUAAAGGACAAUGACCAGAAUCUUGGGGUAAGAUGGUGGACAAGCACCUCACCAGCUUCUGUGGGAGCACCAGUCACAUCAUGCAAUCUUCAGGAACAUCUCCAGUUUGCCAACAGACUGGUCUCAGCCCAGGACUGAGCAAGAAGGUGCUUCAUUUAAUGAGAAUGACUUCACUCAGAAAAAGACAGAAGAACAGAUUGCAACACCAGGAGGGAAAAGAGCUGUCAGUUAUAACACAGGAGGUUCUUCAUAACUCAGAAGAUGGCUCCAACAACCCUGUCCCCAUGAGGAUUUCAGUGCUGCACAAGCAACCUGCUCUGUUGCUGGCAAUGUUCCACCCCAGAGAUGACCGGCUGUAAUCCUUUACAGACACUAAGAUAAAAGAGAAGGCUGACAAGGUUUUUCAAUAUGCAUUAAAUGAAGAAUGGUGAUGAUUCUCUUAGAUUUGCUUUGAUUAGCGUGUUAUAUAACCUCUGGAAUUACAGUGAGAAAGAUAAAGACCCUCAGGCAGGAAGAUUGGCAGAUGGAAUGGGAGACGAGGAACAGAGGAAGGCUGAGAUGGGGGACAAUUCUCAAUCAGUCCCAUAUUUUUUCUUUUGAUUUAUUCUCAUAUGACCUCUUUGUCUUCCAGAGAUUUUCAAUUCUGGAAAUCCUGGCAGGAUUUGAGAUUUUAGUGAAAAGAUAGCUAAAGAUUUUAAAAUAGUAUUGUGAAAAUAUACAAAGUAAUUGUCUGCAUGUUUCCAGUAAGAAAGCUCUUUCAUUUAUUCUGAUAUCUUUUUAUCCGACCAAUCAGAGCCUAUUUUCAUUAUGCUUGCCUGGUCUGCUUCCGGGUAAUAUGUCUGCUUCUGGAAAGGAUGUGCUCUACCACCCACAGCACUGUGCUCCUGUUGAGUUUCUAGAAUGGGCUCUUGGAGUCAUUGUCCUGCUUGGUAAGCAGUUAAUGCUGAUGAGCAUUCAGGAAUAGGGGAAAAAACUGAUUUACUUUGGGAUACAGGUGACUCACCAGAACUCUGAAACAAAGUGCAAACACUGUAUCUUUUCCAGUAGGCAUAUUUCUAGUAGGCUUCCACUGGCUUUUGUACAUAGACAUCUUUUUGGCAACCUAAAGCCAAAUUUACAGGAUUUAUGAGACUAGUAAGAUAAAGCACCAUGCAUAUAAAUCAUUCAGGACACCAUAUAUAAUAAAAAGUAUUCAUCCCAGUAGUACUUUCA
rnacentral:lncRNA from 1 species